UUCUUAAAACAUAACGUUAAUUCAUAAUAUCCCAUUAGAACUCUACAGUUAAGCAUGCUCGGUCUAGACUAGUAUUGGGAUGGGUGACCACCCUGGAAGUCCAAGUAUUUUACAUGC
rnacentral:rRNA from 1 species